rnacentral:lncRNA from 1 species
UAGUCGGCAGUAGCGACCGUCACCUUGGUUAUAUUUCUUCCCGCAUUUAGUAGUUGUUAAUAAUAAAUGGUUCAGUUAGAUGUUUGAAUGUUUGUGAUUUUCGUUAUGUAUGAUUAGAGAUCUUGUGGAUCACUGGUUUUGGUUUUAUGGAUAUUCAGUUUUCAGAUUUGUGUAUUUAUACAUAUUUAUGUAUCGUAGUUUUCUACCCCUCGAGGUAGUUGAUUUUCAAAAUAGAGUUUCCGUGUAGGAAACAGUUUUAAAAAGGUUUUUGAAUGAUUUUCAUGAAUGAAUGAAUUAGAGUUUAAAAACAAAAAGCUUCCGUGUGGGGAGCACUUUUAAAUAGGAUGUUUGUUGUAUUGUGCAUUGCAUCAUCCAGCGCCUAAGGAGUGCUUAGAGGCAUGCAUCAUCUCUAAGAAUCGUUAGCUAUAUGGAAAUGCAUAUCAUGAAUUGGUUGUUGAUUAGUAAUGUAGGUUGUGGUUGAGAUCCUGUUGUAUAGUUGGUAUGCCGUGCAAAUGCAAAAAAGACUCUGUCCAAAUGGACAGAGGAACUUUGUAUUUGUGGCGGGUCUGUGCGCGUCUCGUGGGCUAGGAAAAAAAAAUGGCACGUCUUCUGUGACUCUAAAAAUGGUAAUGGAUUAUAAAAAGGCUUUUAAAAUCGGCCCCGCGGCGUGACAUA